AGAUUUGCACAAUUUUCCAGGGGAAGACUUGUUUUUGUUCAAAUGAUGUCACUUUUGUACUUUUGUACUUUUGUCAAGGUUCCUACGUUCCACGCUUUGCAGUUGCACUCACUCCAGGCAACCAAGUUUUAUCAUUUUUUGUUUCAGUUCUUUGAUUUUUUGUUCAUAUCACUUAAGUCACG